AUUGAACGCUGGCGGCAGGCCUAACACAUGCAAGUCGCGCGGAUGAAGUGAGCUUGCUCCUGGAUUCAGCGGCGGACGGGUGAGUAAUGCCUAGGAAUCUGCCUGGUCGUGGGGGAUAACGUCCGGAAACGGGCGCUAAUACCGCAUACGUCCUGAGGGAGACAGUGGGGGAUCUUCGGACCUCACGCUAUCAGAUGACCCUAGGUCGGAUUAGCUAGUCGGUGGGGUAAAGGCCUACCAAGGCUGCGAUCCGUAACUGGUCUGAGAGGAUGAUCAGUCACACUAGAACUGAGACACGGUCCAGACUCCUACGGGAGGCAGCAGUGGGGAAUAUUGGACGAUGGGCGAAAGCCUGAUCCAGCCAUGCCGCGUGUGUGAAGAAGGUCUUCGGAUUGUAAAGCACUUUAAGUUGGGAGGAAAAGCAGGAAGUUAAUACCUUGCUGUUUUGACGUUACCAACAGAAUAAGCACCGGCUAACUUCGUG
rnacentral:rRNA from 1 species